AGCUGCCGCAAACGGGCCUAAACUUAACGGUGGUUCGAGUCGCCCUACUAGUAGCGGCUGCGCGGGAGAUCUUCUUCUUCCGCGGUUGUCGGUAUCGAGACUGAGGGAGAGCGGGAGGGGCUGCGCGUGAGUCCACAAAGCUGCGGGUCGUGUGGAUUUUCUUCCGUCGUCGGUCGCUGCUGCUCCGGCGAUUCGUGCGGUAGAUCACGCCCCAGGUUCCGUCUUCUUCACAAUCUUUCACCGGCCUAUCGUACUUUUCUUUAUCACAUCCAAUAUCUUCCUUGUACUUCGGAAUCGCAAAGGGAGCGUUGCUGCGGCUGGCGGGCGAGAUUUUUUCCGGCGAAAAGGUUGUCGAGGAAAGAGCACCAUGUUUCAUCUUAGCAAAAUCAAGCACACAUUGCAGUUGCAUCCCCAAUUGUUGGGCCUUCCUCUUAUUGAUGCAAUCAAGGGAGAACUUCAAAUGCAAUUCUUGGACAAGAUUAUUGCAAAUUUGGGGCUUUGCAUUUCUGUUUAUGACAUUCUCUCUAUGGAUGGUGGUUUCAUUUACCCUGGAGAUGGUUGCUCUUCGUACGAGGUUGUAAUUAGAUUAGUCAUGUUUCAACCUUUCAUCGGGGAGAUUCUUACUGGAAAAAUUGAAGAGUCGAACAGUGAUGGCUUGCGUUUAUCUCUUGGUUUCUACAAUGAUAUAUACGUUCCUGUGCAUCAACUACAACAGCCAUGCAAAAGGAGAGAUGAUGGCAUCUGGCUAUGGGAUUACAACUCGGAAGAUUUAUCUCUGGAUUUAAAUGAGGAGGUACAUUUUCAAGUAAUAAGUGUUAACUAUCCUCCCAUCCCAGUCACACAAGAUGCAACUUCAAAACCAUUUGCACCAAUGGAAAUAGUUGCAGGUAUGCGUGGAGAUGGUUUGGGCGUAGUUUCAUGGUGGCAAGAUUAAAGUUAGUGUUGGCCAAAUUGAAUACAUUGAGCAAAUACCAUGAAAAAUCUGUAUACGUAUGGGAAGGGAGAUUUUAGAAGAGGGUGCGUUUGCCUCCAACAGAGUGAGAGAUCAUAGAGGUCUAAGUGUCUCUGUUUGACCAAAAGUGCUUGGGUAGGUCCAAUGCACGGAAUCAACCAACUAGUUAAUGCACAAGCAACCCGACCAAGGGACCGGAUUGGGGCAGUUCACUCUUGAAGCCAAAUAAUAAGAAGUGGUUAAAGCCAUUUAGUCGACCCAUCCAAGAAACAUGCCCGGUAGUGUCGGUUUGACGAAGUCAAUACCACGCCCCCUGGCCUGAUUGAACGAACUUGCCUGCUCGCCACAACUACGAUCGUGCUGAUAGAGGCAUUAUCGUGGAUAAUUUGCCUAAAGCACUAUCAUAGUUAAUGUAUUCUUGGAGGAGGGUGAUAUCAGAGGAGUAUUAUAAGCGACAAUAAAGAUAGA